rnacentral:lncRNA from 1 species
UUUAAGUCUGGGAGGAGAUUUACUGAUAUAAUUUAUUUUAUUCUUAUAUAAAAGGAAUUUUAAUAAAUUAUGCUUAGCUAUUGAAAAUGGGACUAUGAUCUUAUAUUGAUUUAAACUUGAAUAUCUAACCAAUCUUUAGCACCAUUUUAGAUUUACUGAUUGCAGAUAGCACUAUAGAUGCUAAAGCAGAUCAACCUAUCAACUACACACUUGCCUUGUUUGUAUGAAGUAACCAAAGCUGAUUUCCAACACUAAAUCUGACAUAACCGCUUGUCUUGGGGCUUGGUAUACAUGGGAUCGGAUUCUUCAUACAGGUCUGGAAGGUAACGCCUUGUGUAGAUUAUUUAUCACAUUUUCUCUCUCUAAAUUUCUACCCUAGAUUAGUUAGUGAUUUAUAUUUCAGUUCUAUCCAUUUCUUCAAAAAAAAAAAUAUAAAAUAAAAAUAAGAUCUAUUUCUUACUUAGGAUGAGUCUGAACAGGAGUUGGUGCCUAAAACCAUUAAGGCUUGAUUCAUAAAGACUCCAAUAAAGAGUUCGAAACGGGACUUGGAGGCGGCAAUCUUCAAGGCUCGCUUUCAUAAAGAAUUUUUGGAUAUAUGUCAAAAAGAAGUGAACAGAGCUUCAUGGCUACCACCAUUAAGUUUUGAUUCAUGGAAGCCUGUCCAAUCUUGACUCAAGAGAGAAAAUUAGAGAGAGAGAGAGAAAUUAGGAACUAAUUUUUACCUGCAGUUCCAGAUACUUGUCUGAAAUCCUUGCU